rnacentral:rRNA from 1 species
CCAGACUCCUACGGGAGGCAGCAGUGGGGAAUAUUGCACAAUGGGGGAAACCCUGAUGCAGCAACGCCGCGUGAGUGAAGAAGUAUUUCGGUAUGUAAAGCUCUAUCAGCAGGGAAGAAGAUGACGGUACCUGAAUAAGAAGCCCCGGCUGACUACGUGCCAGCAGCCGCGGUAAUACGUAGGGGGCGAGCGUUAUCCGGAUUCACUGGGUGUAAAGGGAGCGUAGACGGCCAUGCAAGCCAGGGGUGAAAGCCCGGGGCCCAACCCCGGGACUGCCCUUGGAACUGCAUGGCUGGAGUGCGGGAGGGGCAGGCGGAAUUCCUGGUGUAGCGGUGAAAUGCGUAGAUAUCAGGAGGAACACCGGCGGCGAAGGCGGCCUGCUGGACCGCGACUGACGUUGAGGCUCGAGAGCGUGGGGAGCAAACAGGAUUAGAUACCCGUGUAGG